rnacentral:piRNA from 1 species
CUGAGAAGCCACACCAACCUCGUUCCGGGGAU